rnacentral:rRNA from 1 species
CCUGGCGACCAUAGCAAGUGAGAACCACCUGAAUCCAUCUCGAACUCAGAAGUGAAACCGCUUAGCGCCGAUGAUAGUGUGGGAGAUCCCAUGUGAAAGUAGGUCAUUGCCAGGC